rnacentral:rRNA from 1 species
AACGAACGCUGGCGGCAGGCCUAACACAUGCAAGUCGAGCGAGGACUUCGGUCCUAGCGGCGGACGGGUGAGUAACGCGUGGGAACGUGCCCUUUGCUACGGAAUAGCCCCGGGAAACUGGGAGUAAUACCGUAUGUGCCCGAGAGGGGAAAGAUUUAUCCGCAAAGGAUCGGCCCGCGUUGGAUUAGGUAGUUGGUGGGGUAAUGGCCUACCAAGCCGACGAUCCAUAGCUGGUUUGAGAGGAUGAUCAGCCACACAGGGACUGAGACACGGCCCAGACUCCUACGGGAGGUAGCAGUGGGGAAUCUUAGACAAUGGGCGCAAGCCUGAUCUAGCCAUGCCGCGUGAGCGAUGAAGGCCUUAGGGUUGUAAAGCUCUUUCAGUGGGGAAGAUAAUGACGGUACCCACAGAAGAAGCCCCGGCUAACUCCGUGCCAGCAGCCGCAGUAAAAC